rnacentral:rRNA from 1 species
CGGUGGGGGAUGACGCUUUUCGGAGUGUAAACCCCUUUCGAUCGGGGACGAAUGCCUCGCAAGGAGGAGUGACGGUACCGGUAGAAGAAGCCCCGGCUAACUACGUGC